rnacentral:lncRNA from 1 species
CUUAUUUUGAUUUAUUAUGAAAAUAUGGGCUAAGUUGUUGUCUGAAUGAAUGGUUAAAGAGUCCAUGAUUAUCUGUGAUCAUAUUAUUUUGGAUCUUAUUAUCUUAGUCACAUGAUAUAGCAUAUAUCGAUAUAAGCCUAACUUGGUUAAUGGGCUUUGUGAUGGGUGGAUCCAUUGGCAUUACUAACCAGUCCCCACUUCGCUCCUAUAUAUGUUUGCUUAUAGAGAAAUCCUAGGGUGUUAACAUCUCUACAUUUCUGGUGCAGAACUAUUCCAUUAAGAGAGACCGAAAUAAGGUAGAGAAGGAGAGGAAGAUCUAUACCAUCAUUGUUGAUUUCUUUUUCACAGGAUGCUAGAAUAGUGAUCGCUAAUAGCUGCUCAAGGAUUUCAAGGUAUGAUCGAUUGAUUAUUUUUUUUUCUUUUCAGAUCUAUUGUUGAAUAAAUAUUUUUGUACUGUAAUCUUCUAUGUGAGAUCUAUAAAGUUUUUCGAUCAUUGAUAUCAUAGCCAGAUUUUUGUAGAGAAUUAGAAUCAAAAUAAAGAAUCAAUCUAAUAGUUUUAAUCAAUCAAACAAGAAAAAAAAUAAAUAAAUAGAGGAAAGGGAAGAGGGAUGGUUUUCCCUAUAGUCGUGCCCUCUUCUCCUUUUCUUCUCAUUGGUCGGACCAAUUUCUGGUAGGAU